AUGGAUUCACUGCAACUAACUCAAGUCUCCCCAUCAGCAUCAAUAACACAUGUACAGAUAUAGAUGAAUGUCUGUUCAGCCCAUCUGUAUGUGGUCCAGAUUCCAACUGCACAAAUGAAAUUGGAAGUUAUAAUUGCUCAUGUCUGGAUGGAUUCACUGCAACAAACUCAAGUCUCCUCAUCAGCAUCAAUAACACAUGUAGAGAUGUGAAUGAAUGUGUUGAGAUAUCAGACAUCUGUGGUCCAAACUCAAUCUGCAACAACACUGUUGGGAGUCACAAUUGCUCGUGCAUGAGUGGAUAUAAUGUAACAGACACAAACCU